AAUACUCGGUUCUGCCUCGGACGAGACAGAACCAGGGGAAUUCUUCGGUGAAUUAUCGAAAUCGGACUUUUUAACGGCAGAAUUGCGGAGGGGAUCAGUGUCGAUUUCGCGAAAACCCUUCAUUAACUAAAUCAUGAGAUUCAAUGAGUGGCGCCCCAUUAGAACAGCUUCCCUAUAAUAAAUAAGAAUCAGUGAUUUUGAUCAUCUGGGCAGGAAAACAAAAUUAGGUCUAUUAACUAUCAAAUUAAAACAGGAAUUAAAUGUACAUCUAUCUCAGAAUUUAAAUAGCAAAGAAAACAAAAAUCAAACUGAUCUGUAAUU
rnacentral:lncRNA from 1 species